ACGGCUCAGUAACACGUUGGUAACCUACCCUCGGGAGGGGGAUAACCCCGGGAAACUGGGGCUAAUCCCCCAUAGGCCUGGGGUACUGGAAGGUCCCCAGGCCGAAAAGGGCUCUCGCCCGCCCGAGGAUGGGCCGGCGGCCGAUUAGAUAGUUGGUGGGGUAACGGCCCACCAAGCCGAAGAUCGGUACGGGCUGUGAGAGCAGGAGCCCGGAGAUGGACACUGAGACACGGGUCCAGGCCCUACGGGGCGCAGCAGGCGCGAAACCUCCGCAAUGCGGGAAACCGCGACGGGGGGACCCCGAGUGCCGUGGCACCGCCACGGCUUUUCCGGAGUGUAAAAAGCUCCGGGAAUAAGGGCUGGGCAAGGCCGGUGGCAGCCGCCGCGGUAAUACCGGCGGCCCGAGUGGCGGCCGCUAUUAUUGGGCCUAAAGCGUCCGUAGCCGGGCCCGUAAGUCCCUGGCGAAAUCCCACGGCUCAACCGUGGGGCUUGCUGGGGAUACUGCGGGCCUUGGGACCGGGAGAGGCCGGGGGUACCCCUGGGGUAGGGGUGAAAUCCUAUAAUCCCAGGGGGACCGCCAGUGGCGAAGGCGCCCGGCUGGAACGGGUCCGACGGUGAGGGACGAAGGCCAGGGGAGCAAACCGGAUUAGAUACCCGGGUAGUCCUGGCUGUAAAGGAUGC
rnacentral:rRNA from 1 species